rnacentral:rRNA from 1 species
GUUGAUAGGCAAGGUGUGGAAGCGCAGUAAUGCGUGAAGCUAACUUGUACUAAUUGGCUGAUUGUCUUGACCAU